AGAAGUUAAAUAACCCUGCCAGUAAGUGCUAGUGUCCAUGCUGUGACUGAAGGCUGGCCACGCCACCUCCCAUCCUGUUUCUUUCAACUAUGAGAUGAGCUCCUGUACUCCACGACACAAUGAGUGCCCAGCACCUUGCAGACAGUAACUGUCCACACCACCUCCCAUCCUGUUUCUUUCAACUAUGAAAUGAGCUCCUGUACUCCACGACACAGGGCUCCAUAUUUGAGCUCCACAGGGAACACAUAUUCACCGCCUGCUGCGCAGAAGUGGCUGAGCAGAUAGCAACCACACCUUGGACACAGAGAGCCCUUCUGCUUCCUUGGAUAAAGGUUCUGCACAACGUGACACAGGUACGCUGAGCAAAGAGGGACUAAUGGUCUGGGAAGUCAGGAAGGCUUCCUAGAACAGGUGACAUUUGAGCUGGGUCUUGAAGAUGAGUAGCUCUUCAAAGAGGAAGAAGGAGAAGGAGAAGGAGGAAAAGAGUGCCCUGGGUCAAAAGCACAUGCAAACCCCAGACGCAUGAGAGUUGAGCUUUAGUCUGCAUCCUGAGUGAAAUCUAAGAGUAUUCAGACAGCAGCUCUGUGCCCCCAGGAGUAGCCCGUGCUUCAGACAGGCAGAGUUUGGCCACAGAGCUGCACCUGAGGAUGCUGUCCAUCAUGGUAAUAACUUAAGUAGCAUUUAUGGAGCACUUACUCCUAUGUACUUGGCACUGUAGGUGCUUUACACAUAUUAACUCCUUCAAUCUCCAUCAAUUUAUGAGAUAGCCACUACAUAUCCCCACUUUAGAGAUGAGAAAACUGAUGCCCAGAGGCCAAAUAACUUGCUGAAGGUCAUGGAGCUAAAGAUGACAAGUGCCCCUAAU
rnacentral:lncRNA from 1 species